rnacentral:rRNA from 1 species
UACGUAGGGGGCAAGCGUUGUCCGGAUUUAUUGGGCGUAAAGAGCGUGUAGGCGGCUAGGUAGGUCCGUUGUGAAAACCCGAGGCUCAACCUCGGGCCUGCAGUGGGUACGGGCAGACUAGAGUGCGGUAGGGGAGAUUGGAAUUCCUGGUGUAGCGGUGGAAUGCGCAGAUAUCAGGAGGAACACCAAUGGCGAAGGCAGAUCUCUGGGCCGUAACUGACGCUGAGGAGCGAAAGCAUGGGGAGCGAACAGG